GGGGGGGAUGAAAAAAAGAAGACGACAAGAAAUACAUGAGAGGGAAAACGGAGGAACAACAUCUGCUGCCUUGCCGAUAGUUAAAUGUGACGUCUGUGUGGUACGAAUGACUUGAACCCGAAGACUCAAGAGGUGAACUAAUCAUUUCUGUUUCCGGGGAACGGACGUGACAAAAGGAAGAACGACUCGGAUCUGGAGAAUGAGGCCUUACAUUGCAGACCUUACACCAAGUACAAGACCUUUUCCCCCAAGCCCCAUUUGCAAGAGAUGAUCUCAUUUACUUACAACUCGCUGUUUCAAACAAAACUCUGGAAUAAUGCAGUGGAAGUUGUUCAGUCCAGCGUGACACACACAACUGUGUACAGGCAGGUCCAUAAGUAUUUGGACCCUGACACAAGUUUCAUAAUGUUGCCUCUGUACACCAGCACCACGGAUUUGAAAUGAAAUCGAGGUGUGAUUGAAGUGUAGACUUUCAGCAUUAAUUCAAAGGGUUUAAUAAAAAUUUUGCAUUAACAGCCUUUUUUUUUUUUUCAGAAUCCAUCCAUUUUCACAGGCUCAAAAGUAAUUGGACAAUUGACUGA